GCCUCCGUAGCUCAGUCAGUUAGAGCGUCGCUCUCGUAAAGCGAAGGUCGAGGGUGCAAAUCCCUUCGGAGGCU
rnacentral:tRNA from 1 species